rnacentral:rRNA from 1 species
UACGUAGGGGGCAAGCGUUGUCCGGAAUUAUUGGGCGUAAAGGGCGCGUAGGCGGAUGUUUAAGUCCGGUGUGAAAGAUCAGGGCUCAACCCUGAGAGUGCAUCGGAAACUGGGCAUCUUGAGGACAGGAGAGGAAAGUGGAAUUCCACGUGUAGCGGUGAAAUGCGUAGAUAUGUGGAGGAACACCAGUGGCGAAGGCGACUUUCUGGACUGUAACUGACGCUGAGGCGAGAAAGCGUGGGGAGCAAACAGG